GAGGGAGAAAGAAAGUGAAUGGCGGAGGAUUGGAAGUGUGACAUUCAGAGGCGGCGGAGGAAAGCUCCUCGCCCCCUCCCUGUCUCGGAGGAGGGGGGUGGCGGCGGUGCCGGGGUGCUGCGUGGCUCCGCGCCCCGCUAACUGUGUGCGUGUCUGUCUCUCUCCAUGCCGGGGGAUCGCUCUUAAAAUACGCCCGAUACAAUGCACCAGCCUGACUCAGCCGCAGACAUUAGUGCUAGGAAGAUGGCGCACCCGGCAAUGUUUCCUAGAAGGGGCAGCAGCAGUAGCAGCGGCAGCAGCUGCGUUACUGCUCCCACUGCACCAGGUACCGGCGUUGGGAGCGCUGCCCUCUCCGCCGAGGAUUACCAGCCGCCCCUGCUGGUCCAGCCGCCGCCUCCGUCUCCCGCAGCAUCCUCAUCGGCAGGCCCGCAGCCGACACCCCCUCCUCCACAAAGCCUGAACCUCCUCUCGCAGUCUCAGCUCCAGCCGCAGCCUCUCGCGCAGACCGGAGCUCAGAUGAAAAAGAAAAGUGGCUUCCAGAUUACCAGCGUGACCCCUGCUCAAAUAUCUGCCAGUAUGAGCUCUAAUAACAGCAUAGCCGAAGAUACGGAAAGCUACGAUGACCUGGAUGAGUCUCACACGGAAGACCUGUCUUCUUCAGAAAUCUUGGAUGUUUCUUUAUCCAGGGCCACUGACUUGGGUGAACCUGAGAGGAGCUCUUCUGAAGAGACUUUAAAUAACUUCCAAGAGGCAGAGACUCCCGGGGCCGUUUCUCCAAACCAGCCUCAUCUUCCUCAGCAGCACCCUUCUCUGCCUCAUCAUCCGCAGCAGAGCGUUGUGAUCAACGGAAGCGUUCACCCCCACCACGUCCAUCACCACCAUCAUCUUCACCACCACCAUCAUGGACACCAUCACCCAUCGCAUCCCGGGGUGGGCAGCGCCCCAGUUUCUGGAGGACCACCACCCAGCCCAUCGUUUAGAAAGCUGUCGACAACUGGAAGCUCUGACAAUGUUAUAUCAGCUGCGCCAGGUUCUGCUGCAUCAUCCACCGGUCCCCCUGCAUCUGUCGUGUCUAAUAUCCGCACUACGAGUACUCCUGGCAGUCUAGGUGUAAGUUCUGCUACUGGAACUAGUACCUUGAAUAAUAUGGGCGGAGGUAGUUCUAGUGUGGCAAGCAGCGUGCUUGGUACUAUGAAUUUAAGCAACAUCACAAGUACUGGUAAUGUAAAUGCUUUGUCUGGAACUAGUGGCAAUGUUAAUGUGAAUAUCUUGAGUGGUGUUGGCAAUGGUACGAGUGCUUCCUCUAGUGUCGUUAACAAUGUUACUAAUCCGAGUGCAGGAGUGGCCGCGGGAUCCAGCCAGCAGCAGCCCGCAUCUGGCACCUCAAGGUUUAGAGUUGUAAAAUUAGAUUCUAGUUCUGAACCUUUCAAAAAAGGUAGAUGGACAUGCACUGAGUUCUAUGAUAAAGAAAACACUGUUGCAGCUUCAGAAGGAGUAGCAGUAAACAAAGCAGUAGAGACGAUAAAACAAAACCCGCUUGAAGCGACUUCUGAAAGGGAGAGCACCAGUGGGAGUUCUGUUAGCAGCAAUGUAAGCACACUGAGUCACUAUACAGAAAGUGUGGGAAGUGGAGAAAUGGGAGCACCUACUGUGGUACAGCAGCAAGCCUUUCAAGGUGUGGGUCCUCAGCAGAUGGAUUUUAGCAGCGCUGCUCCUCCAGCAAUUCCAGCAUCUAGUAUACCACAGAGUGUUUCCCAAUCACAGCUUGCACAAGUCCAGCUGCAUUCUCAAGAGAUAAACUAUCCGCAGCAGAAGCCAGGGGUCCAACCUCCUGCGCAGGCCAGUCUAACCACUGUUACUGGGGUUCAGCCAGCCCCGGUUAAUCUACUAGGUGUAUCCCCAGCUCUGGGCCACCAGCAGCCUGCCAUUCAAAGUAUGGCUCAACAGCAGUUACCUUAUUCUCAGCCAGCACAGCCUGUGCAGACUCUGCCAGUUGUACAACAGCAACAGUUGCAGUACGGACAGCAGCAGCAGCAGCAAGCGGUUCCUACACAGAUGGCCACAGGUCACGUUAAGUCGGUGAACCAAAGCACUGUUACGGGGGCCGUGCCAGAGUAUAUUCAGCAUCAACAGAUCCUUCAGCCCCCGGCACCUGCUAUGCAGCCCAGUCCUGCAGGAGUAGGGGCAGGGCCGCCGGUUCCUGUUGCCCAGGUCCCGAGCAUGCAGCCUGCAGUCCCGGCGCACCCAGCCGCUGCCCCGGCUCAGCCUGCUGCGCACGCCCCGGCAGCAAUACCAGGUGUGGGUACCAGUGGGCAGAUGCUGAGCGUUGGGCAGCAAGCAAACGUGGCCACUGUGGUGCAACCACCACCUGCUGCAAACCAAAUUCCACCUCCAGUUAUGCCAUCAACCGCUGCUCCUCCAUCUUCGCAAGUGGUGCAGCCUGUGCAGACAGGAAUAAUGCAGCAGGGAUUACAGGCUAGCGCUUCAGGCCUUCCUCAGCAAAUGGUUAUUGCUCAGCAAAACACUUUGUUACCUGUACAGCCGCAGGCACAAGCGGUGGAGUCAGUGGUGCAAGGAAUGACUGGCCAACAGCUGCCUGCAGUUAGCCCCAUACCUUCUGCUAGUACUGUUCCUGCACCGAGUCAAGCUGGUUCGGCUGUGCCCCCUGGCAUACCUUCUGCUUCUAUAGGUUUGGGACAGCCACAGAGCAUAGCCCAGGCUUCAGCUGUGCAGAAUGGGAGUCUGGCUCAGAGCGUUAGUCAGCCUCCUUUGGUAUCAACAAGUAUAGGUAUGCCGGUGGCACCCAGCGUGCCGCAGCAGAUACCUCUGAGCUCUACCCAGUUCCCAGCACAAUCACUAGCCCAGCCAGUUGUAAGCCAAAUGGAAGAUGGCAGGCGCCCUACAGAACCUUCCCUCGUUGGUUUACCUCAAGCUGCCAGCGGGGAGAGCAGCGUUGGAGCGUCGGCCAUCGCUGAUGGCAGUAGCAGUAACGUGCCAGCCUCGGCCUCCCUCUUCCCGUUGAAGGUGCUGCCCCUGGCGACGCCCCUCGUAGAUGGAGAGGAUGAGAGCUGCCCACAAAAGUAAAGAACCAGUGUGAAAGUUUGAAGAAAGAAACCACUCAGAGGACUGAGUUUCAAGCAAAAGCUCCAGGUUGCAGACUCAGAAAGAAACUUCCUUUGGGGAAGGAUCUGCUUCCAGGAUUUGCUCGUCUCUUUUUCCUUGGUCAAACAGAGUUCUUGAAGCAAACAACAGGGUUGCAGGACACCUUGUAACCUUUAUACUGCUUCACAAGCCUUCGGCAGAAGAUUAUGAGAGCCAUUUAUGUUGCUGGAAGAUGACUGGGUUUGGAUCUUGGCCUUCCUUAAGCAGGAUCUCCUGACAAAAAUGGGAUUGGGAAAGAAAUGACUCCUUUUUCCAUCAUACAGAGCCACCCUAGCAAUGGAAGCGUAGGCAGAACGUUACUUCUAACGUGUGAUUCUUUAGGGCAUGUGUUUGGCUUCCCAUGGUCCUUUUGAUACGAUGUCAUAAAGAUGUUUUAUAAAAACCUAAACCUGGCAUCUUGCUAUCUGAUGAAGAUCAAAUCGGUAAAUCCAACUUGAGGAGUUUGCAGGUCUCAUAACGUGAUGAGAUCUUGCUAAUUUCUGUAUAGGAGAUGCCAUGUGAAUCUGUGAAACUGGGUUCUGCUGUGGUUCAGAUGGAUAUAUUUGUAAAGCUUUUUCUACUCAUAGUCUAUUUAAAUGAUUGCAAAGCAUAUUGAUGAGGAUUCUUAUGGAAAUGGUAUUUAAUUAGGCUUCUACCUCUUCAGUUUUAUUAAAAUAAAAAGACAAAUGUCCACGGCUAUAUAAAAAGUAUUGGGUCUUUUGAGGUUUCAUGUUACUUUUGUAGAAAAAAGGUAUAUUGGAAGUGCUGGAAGUGGAAAAACAUAGAUUUCUCUUCAAGAUGGAAAAGUUGUUAGAAAGCAGAAUGCUUUAAUUUUUUUCCCUCAGGGAUUCUGUAGUCAAACUUGAAUGUCUUGCGAGAUCUCAAAUAAAAACCUUAUGUUUGGCAGUAGUGUACGACACAUUCGUGUCUGUCUACUCUUGUUCUUUUCACUGUAGGAAAUUAAUUUUGAACAAUAGGACACUUUAACAUUCUAACUAGGAAAGAGGAAAGCUUUGUUCUGACUCUGGAGUCGAAGAAGGGCUGGCAGGAGGGUGAACUGGACCCUCCGGCAGGUAAAAAGCCCUUCUAUUUUUCUGUUUUCUGCUUCUGGCAUUUGGAGUAAAGCAGACACUUGUGCUCGAAUCCGAUUAAUUUCUUCCAUCAGUUACUGUGCUAACACUGUUUUUAACUACUGCCUCGAUCUUUCAUUAAAUGCACCAGAGUGCUUACAUUGUUGAGUGGUCUUAACGUAGCCCUGAGGCUACUGCUUCAUGGCAGUUGUGACUUCUUAUUAUGCUGGAAUGCAUCACAGCCUUAGUACAUUCUAAAAAUAAUUGUUCAGAUGGUGCUGUUUAAAUACAUUCUUAUGUAGUGAGCCAUUUUCACUGGACUUUCUGAAAUUUGGCUGUCUGUUGGAUGCCUUUAAUAUCUUUAUUUCUUUUUCCAUGAGUAUCAGACUACUUUGUCUUGCUUCUUCUGUGGUUAUCAAGUGAAAUGCUAAAUUUAUGACCUGAUAUUUUUAGGAAACAGUCUGAUGCAUGUGUUAAACUAUGCAACUGCAGUAACACUUGUGCACUUUGAAGUUUAAAGGAACUUUAAAGGAACUUUUAAUGUUUUAAUGUGACAAAUGUUUCUUAAAAAAAAAAAGUGGAAGUGUGUGUGUAUGCAUAUGGUGACUUCAAAAUGGAGUAGUUGUCAUAGGUACAGAUCUUUGGGCAUAAAUUGCGUGCUUAACAGGAGUAAUGUGGAGGUUAUAAGCUGAAGAUCUGUGAGUCUUAGAAAUAAAUGCUAACAUCUGUGGCUUGAGAUCUGUGCCAGCACUUAUCUUAGUUGAAAAUACCUGUGCGUUUCUGGCUUCUAGUCUGCUUAAGGUUUGAUAUGGUUUGUACCUUCCACAAAAGGUGCAUCUCCUCAGCUGCAGUUCUUGGUCGUUUUGUCGUGAAGUGUAACACAAAUUAACUUGUAAAACUAAAUACUUCUAGUACAAUGACAGAGGUACUGAGAGCUUACUAAUAUUAUUGUCUCAAUCCCUGUCUCUAGGGAAGCAUGAAAUGACUUCACUCAUCCCCCUCCCCUCCAUAGUAACAAUUAAAGAACAAGAAAGCAAAACAAAACAAAAAAACAACCACCAAAGAACCCAACUAAAAACCACACACAGAGAAAACUCUCCAAAAUCUGUUGUUUCUAUUAAGUCAGCAUUUUAAUCCUACUUGUGUAUCAGCAUUGUUAGCGUACCGCUGUUGUGCUCUGGGCUUUGCAGCUGGCAUCUUGGGUUCUUAAUAAGUUGUUCAGAGUGAUAACUCCUGCUUUUGUGUUUAUUAAAUAAUAAAGAUGUCUAAAACCAUUUUCUUCUUGUUUAUAUUAUACCUAGAGUAAUUGUAUGAGUAUUGAGUGGUGCUUUUCUGAUUUGCCCCAGAAUGUCAGGAAACAUGGAAAAGCAUGGUGUGGUUUUAGAGUGUAUGGUUUUAGAGGUUUUUUUAAUCCCAGCUACUAAUGGAAUCUCAGAAGAUGGGCUUGCAGUAUUUCUGUUUUUCCUCUUUCUGCUGCCUUUAAGAUUCCUUGAGCAUUAGAGCUUCCUGGCUCAUUUUGUGUAAUCUUUUACAUCUUCUCUACCAGAUGCCAGCUCCUCACUGUUUUAUAUCCAGUGAAUAAAAUCCUGGCUGUUGACAUCUCAUUUUUUUUUCUGUUUCAGAAAAGCUAUCGUGUUUAACAUGAAAGAUUUGCUUUCUUCUUCCCGCCUCCCAUCUCCACCCUUUGUGACUCUGUGCUGCAACUCUGUUAUGGGAUGCUUUGAAAGCAGUGGAACCUUCUGUAAAGAUUGAGAAAUUUCAGGAAAAAACUUGCUAAUACUGCCAGAGCUAAACGUGUGUGUGUGUGUGUAAUGAGUUGCCAAUUCAAGGUAUCUUUUUCAAAGGAAGGACCAAAAGCAUUAUUCCUUCCAUAAACGAAAUCAGAAUAAACAGCGUGGAUUCUGGGGUGUUUUUCCUUGCUUUGCAGUGAGGGAGAUGGAUAACAAAGCCACCAGCAGACCGGCUCUGUCAGCAGUAGCGUACUGUGAACUGGAUUAGAUUCUCACUUUCAUCUCUCCAGCCCUGUCUGCAGAGCACUGGGAUUUGGUCAAGUAGAAAUGAUGAAAAUGUGUUUUUUUUUUUUUUUUUAACCAGCUUCUUUUUUGCCUAUUGAGAAAAGCAGAUACCUUGGUUUGCUUGUUGAUGAUCCCUGAAAGAACGAAUGUGAUUUGAGGGUUAGCUGAGAAAAGUGUUUUUCAUUGAAAAUUGGAAAAGGCAUUAUCUGAACAACGGUGCUAACAAACAGCUGAACUGUCCCAGGUUUGUUUGUUACAUGGACUUUCUGAAGAACUGGAAGCAGCACAGCUCCUAGGCCAAGGCCCAUAAAUGAUACAGGUUGAUAUCAACAGUGUGAGGUGAGUUGAUGGGUUGGUUCAGGAACUGUCAGGCUUUGCUGCUUAAGAAAUUGCAUUGUCAAAAUGGCAUGCAAGUAAUUACAAACCAACUCUUGGAAACAUGGCUUUGAAGGCCUUAAUAGGUUUGGUUUGUUUUUCUUUUUUUAAUGACAGUGAGAUUUCCUUGAUCCCUCCCAGCACUUUUUUUUUUUUGAAGAGUAUGACAUUACUGUUCUAACAAACUCUCCUGUUAUUUCAUUCCUGUGGUCUACUCUCACAAGUGGUUGGUUUGCCUCUUCUCACCAGCAGAAAUGGAUGUUUUUGCUUUUUCUAUGUAUUGAGUGGAUGCCAGGAAAAUAUGUGGGUUUGGGGCUUCUGUCACAGAACAGUAAAUGAAGAAAUCUGUCUUAUACAGACAGGUAUCACCUUUAUGGGGAGAAAUGGUUUUAUUUAUUCUAACGUUAUAAGAGUUUGUGACUACAGAGGCAUAUGGAUGGUGUGGUACUUUCUGUUCUGUUGCUUUAAUACUGUUAAAAAUAUGUUGGAAUUUUAUGCAGCUUCUGCAUAUUUUUGAGAUGUUACUCUGAUUAAAAUUAACUGUCUAGGUAGUUGAAUUUUGCAAAUAUUUUGGGGUUUUUUGUUGGAAAGGUUUUUUAAUACAAAGUAAACUAUACUUGUUUCCCCCCUUUUAGGUGGGGCUGCGGAAAGAUUGGAAAGACUGAAUAUCAGAUUUUACAGAAAUUACUAUCAAACUGGGGAGUUCUGGCUGUUCUUCUCAUCUGAUUCCUAUCCUAUAUUGCUGUAAGCCUGAUGGCCAGGUGGUUAGGUUCUUUGGUGCUUGAUAAAGUAUGCUGACACUGUUUUCUUUGAGGAUUUUGGGGAGCAAUAGCGCUUUCUUGUUGAUGAGGAGCAUUCCAGCAAGAGUUUUCUAUAUUGAAAUUUGUUUAUUUUAUACUAAUAUUGGUAAUAUUUAAGUAUCUGUUUCCCUGUAUUAAUGAUAAAUUUUAUCUAAUUACUUUCAAUUAUUUUUAAGAGGAAGUUUUUCCACAGAGGGUGGUGAGGCACUGGAACA